rnacentral:lncRNA from 1 species
GGUGUCCCGGGUUUUUGAAUCUAGUAUAUCGAAUUGAAUGAGAUUUCUCAUAGAUCGAUCUUUAUCUUUAUUCUUUUUUUUGGGGGUUAACCAAAAGAGGUUAAUUCCAUGAGCAUGAGUUUCAAACUUGACUUUUGAUUAAAUUAAUAAUCAGCUUUGCUUUCAUUUUAUCUUUUCUCCCACCGUCAGAAGAAUAACAUAGAAGCAUUUCCACUAUAGUUAGAAUUUUCUGAAAGGUAUCUAUCUCGGUUUCAUAUAAAAAUUGAUAUAGAAUCUUUGAAAAAAGCCCUUUCUUCCUAAGAAAGAAAAGGCUUACUGUCUUUGGGAUCUGAUGCUACACCGCUGCUCAAUACCUUAGGGGAUCGACUUUAUUACAUAAGUGGAUUCCUUACUUUUAUCUCAUAUCAUGACAUAAAUAAGCAGUUCUUAUUGGAUCGGCAUCGGCCCAAAACCUCGCGAAUUGAUCUUUACGGUGCUUCCUCUAUCAAUUAGAUCCUUUAUCCAUAGAAUAAACUAUCUAGGCAUAUCGAUUUCUUCAUAUUUCGACUUCUAUGAAGUUUCUUUCUUUGCUACAGCUGAUAAAAAUCGUUUUUGCACGAUGCAUAUGUAGAAAGCCUAUUUUUUUUUUUCGAGUAUUUAUUAGUGUAUUUGCUCUUUACCCCCCCUCCUUUUUUUUUUUCUUUUACUUUUUUCUUUCUAUAGUAGAGAUAGUCGCACGUAAUGACAGAUCACAGCCAUAUUAUUAAAAGCUUGUGGUAAGAACGGAUUUCGUUCUAGUGCCCGAAAAUAAUAUUCUAAAGCUUUUGUAUGUUCUCCGUUACUUGUGUGGAUAAGGCCUAUGUUAUAGAGUAUAUAGCUUCGAUCGUAAGGAUCAAUUUCUAGUCGCAUAGCUUCAUAAUAAUUCUGUAAAGCUUCCGCAUAAUUGCCUUCAGAUUGAGCUGACAUCCGUUACGGUCGUCAUUCGAUUCAAAGAAUUCUCCGUUUCAAAAACCGUACAUGAGAUGAAAAUCUCAUACGGCUCCUCCUUUAUGUGCAUUAUGAGAAUAAUCCAUGAAAUCAAAAAAGAUUGAAAUAUUCUCAUUAUGAACUAAGUGGGGCUAAUGUUUUUACAAGAAAUCUCUAGCCAACCUUCCUGCAAAAGCUUUUUUCUUAAUAUCACGCGUGUUGGUACUAGAUAAAACCGGAAACUCCAACAAUUUCUUUGUUCUCAACGCCCCUUAAUUUACAGGAAUUAAUCACUUCAACAGUCUUCGAUGGUUAUACGGGUAUCCACAGUACGAACGAGAUGGAUGUUUGUUAUCCCAACCAUUCUUCUUAGUCCCGAUCCCGCUAAGGAAAGGGGCAGCUUAUAACAAAGUUUUCGUGUUGCUGAUUCCUAGACGUAGCGCCUCUUCCCCUAUGCCGCCUAUUGGUACUGGGUGUAGUAGGGUUGACUUGCAAUACAGAACCCAUAGGUGUAACCUUUCGCUCAAUACUAGAAUCGACAAUUGAAGCAUCUGAGGCUGCAUUAAUCGGGGAUACACGACAGAAGGAAUGGUUUUUAUCUAUAAACUUCACCUUCAACAAGCGUAGAUUUUUUCAAUAAUCUUUUUUUUUUUUUUUUCUAUCCCGAAUUGUCUUUCUUUCUUCUAAGACCCGAAAGGGUAAAUAAAAAACUAAUCAAAUCGCACCAUCUCUGUAAUAGGUAAAUGCCUCUUUUUCUCCUACAGUUUGUCGGAAUUAUUCGUAAUAAUAUAUUGGCUACAAUCGAAAAGGUCUUAUCAAUAAAAUUUCCGUUUAUCCGCGAUCUAGGCAUAGGUAAAAAUCCAUUCUAUAAUUCGUUUCAUUACCUCUUGUGAGAAAAUGAUCCCACAAACAAAGGAAUUGUACAGUACAAAAUAACAUAAAAGCAGACGUGUUAAAAAAAAUAAAAAAAAAAAUAGACCGAUCCGUUGAUUCGUUCCAACUCAUUGAUUAAAUCAGGUAGAAAUAUCAGAAAAAAAAAAAAAAGGAGCGCCAUCUUUGCAAACAAGAUAUAUAGCCUUAUUGUUUUUUGUUUUGAACAGUUUUUCACAAACAAAAAAGUUAUCCUUUCCCCAGACUCAAAGGAAGAAUUUUUCUUUGCUGAAAGGGUUUCUAUUUUUCUAGUUAGAACGGAUUCGAUUGUCCGUACCAUCUACCAAUCGAAUUUGAACAACUCGCUAUUCACGCGGUUCUCGGUCAUAAUCAUUGUGUAGGAGAGAUGGCCGAGUGGUUCAAGGCGUAGCAUUGGAACUGCUAUGUAGACUUUUGUUUACCGGGGGUUCGAAUCCCUCUCUUUCCGUACCUUGAACUAAUUCAUCAAUGUUACUGACCGGAAUGUAUCCAAGCAAAAAAGAAUGAAUACCGAAGCAGUCAGACCUUUUUUUGAGCUAGAUUCUCAAUUCCUACGGGAAAGAAAGGGAAGGGCAGGCAGGGGAUAAAAAUCUACCCUCGGAUCUAUGAUACAUGAAUGGGAUAAAAAAAAACUCCACGGAUCAAA